rnacentral:rRNA from 1 species
CUACGUGCCAGCAGCCGCGGUAAUACGUAGGGUGCGAGCGUUAAUCGGAAUUACUGGGCGUAAAGCGGGCGCAGACGGUUACUUAAGCAGGAUGUGAAAUCCCCGGGCUCAACCUGGGAACUGCGUUCUGAACUGGGUGACUAGAGUGUGUCAGAGGGAGGUAGAAUUCCACGUGUAGCAGUGAAAUGCGUAGAGAUGUGGAGGAAUACCGAUGGCGAAGGCAGCCUCCUGGGAUAACACUGACGUUCAUGCCCGAAAGCGUGGGUAGCAAACAGGAUUAGAUACCCUGGUAGUCCACGCCCUAAACGAUGUCGAUCAGCUGUUGGGCAGCAUGACUGCUUAGUAGCGAAGCUAACGCGUGAAAUCGACCGCCUGGGGAGUACGGUCGCAAGAUUAAAACUCAAAGGAAUUGACGGGGACCCGCACAAGCGGUGGAUGAUGUGGAUUAAUUCGAUGCAACGCGAAGAACCUUACCUGGUCUUGACAU